rnacentral:rRNA from 1 species
CGCGUGCGUGGAAGAAGGCCUUCGGGUUGUAAAGCCCUUUUGUUGGGAAAGAAAUCCUGCUGGCUAAUACCCGGUUGGGAUGACGGUACCCAAAGAAUAAGCACCGGCUAACUUCGUGCCAGCAGCCGCGGUAAUACGAAGGGUGCAAGCGUUACUCGGAAUUACUGGGCGUAAAGCGUGCGUAGGUGGUCGUUUAAGUCCGUUGUGAAAGCCCUGGGCUCAACCUGGGAACUGCAUUGGAUACUGGGCGACUAGAGUGUGGUAGAGGGUAGCGGAAUUCCUGGUGUAGCAGUGAAAUGCGUAGAGAUCAGGAGGAACAUCCAUGGCGAAGGCAGCUACCUGGACCAACACUGACACUGAUGCACGAAAGCGUGGGGAGCAAACAGGAUUAGAUACCCUGGUAGUCCACGCCCUAAACGAU